rnacentral:rRNA from 1 species
CCGCACAAGCGGUGGAGCAUGUGGUUUAAUUCGACGCAACGCGAAGAACCUUACCAGGGCUUGACAUCCCCUGACCGCGUAUGAAAGUACGUUUUCACCCUCGGGUGACAGGGAGACAGGUGGUGCAUGGUUGUCGUCAGCUCGUGUCGUGAGAUGUUGGGUUAAGUCCCCGCAACGAGCGCAACCCCUACGUUUAGUUGCUAACGCGUGAAGGCGAGCACUCUAGACGAACUGCCGUUGACAAAACGGAGGAAGGUGGGGAUGACGUCAAAUCAUCAUGCCCCUUAUGUUCUGGGCUACACACGUGCUACAAUGGCCGGUACAGACGGACGCAAAGCCGCGAGGUGGAGCAAAUCCUAAAAAGCCGGUCUCAGUUCGGAUUGCAGGCUGCAAUUCGCCUGCAUGAAGUCGGAAUCGCUAGUAAUCGCAGGUCAGCAUACUGCGGUGAAUACGUUCCCGGGCCUU